UAUGACUCUCGGCAAUGGAUAUCUUGGCUCUUGCAUCGAUGAAGAGCGCAGCGAAAUGCGAUACGUGGUGUGAAUUGCAGAAUCCCGUGAACCAUCAAGUCUUUGAACGCAAGUUGCGCCCGAGGCCAAUUGGCUAAGGGCACGUCCGCCUGGGCGUCAAGCA
rnacentral:rRNA from 1 species